GAGUUCUUACAAAACAUAGCAAUCCAAGGAAAACCAAUCCGAUGAAGUGUUAAUUGACAUCCAAAGCAAUCCAAUGAAUCCAAGAUUGAAAGUAAGUGUUGUGGAACUCUAAAAACCUUAAGAAAGAGGUGAAAAUCGCCUAUGGAGGCUGCUGGAGACGAGAAUAUAAAGUGAAACCCUAGAGAUGGGUUUUAAACUAAAAAAUUCGUAACUGCCAGAUCACGCAGUAGGCGGCCGCCUAGAGAAGGCGGUGGCCUAGAAGUAGGCGGUGGCCUAGAGAAGGCGGUGGCCUAGAAGUAGGCGGUGGCCUAGAGAAAGCGGUGGCCUAGAAGUAGGUGGUGGCCUAGAGAAGGCGGCCGCCUCUGGCUACAGCAGUUGUCCCGUUAGUUGCCUCUUGAUCCAAAAACGCUCACAACUUCACGAAAAACUUCCCAAACUCCGGAAUCCUGCACCAACAAGAAAAAGCAGCAAACAGCACUCGGGCAAGAAUAACACGGCACGAAAAAGCACAAAGCAUGCUCGAAAGUGUAUCACACAACUCAACAAUAACACUAAGAAACAAGGUAAACA
rnacentral:lncRNA from 1 species